rnacentral:rRNA from 1 species
AUGGGGGGACGGAGAAGGCUAGGUGGGCCAGGCGACGGUUGUCCUGGUGAAAGUGCGUAGGCGGUACCUUUAGGUAAAUCCGGAGGUGCAACGCUGAGACACGAGACGAACACACUACGGUGUGGAAGCCAUUGAUGCCCUGCUUCCAGGAAAAGCCUCUAAGCUUCAGAUUACAAGUCAUCGUACCCCAAACCGACACAGGUGGUCGGGUAGAGAAUACCAA